rnacentral:rRNA from 1 species
CAUGCAAGUCGAACGCAGCACGCGAGUGCUGAGUGGCGGACGGGUGAGUAACGCGUAGGAAUCUGCCCGGUUGCGGGGGAUAACCUGGGGAAACCCAGGGUAAUACCGCAUAAUCUCUGCGGAGGAAAGUGGGGGACCGCAAGGCCUCACGCGACCGGAGGAGCCUACGUCGGAUUAGCUAGUUGGUAAGGUAACGGCCUACUAAGGCGACGAUCCGUAGCUGGUCUGAGAGGGUGUACGGCCUCACUGGGACUGAGACACGGCCCAGACUCCUACGGGAGGCAGCAGUGGGGAAUCUUGCGCAAUGGGCGAAAGCCUGACGCAGCGACGCCGCGUGGAGGAUGAAGGCCUUCGGGUUGUAAACUCCUGUCAGAGGAGAAGAAUCUCCGAGCAAUCGGAGUGGACGG